UACAGAGGGUGCGAGCGUUAAUCGGAAUUACUGGGCGUAAAGGGCGCGUAGGCGGCGACCCAAGUCAGAUGUGAAAGUCCUGGGCUUAACCUGGGGACUGCAUUUGAUACUGGGUUGCUUGAAUUCGGGAGAGGAUAGCGGAAUUCCCAGUGUAGAGGUGAAAUUCGUAGAUAUUGGGAAGAACACCGGUGGCGAAGGCGGCUAUCUGGACCGACAUUGACGCUGAGGCGCGAAAGCGUGGGGAGCAAACAGG
rnacentral:rRNA from 1 species